UAGCCGCACCCCAAGUGGUGACCAGUAUUAUUGGGCUUAAAGUGUUCGUAGCCGGACCUGCAAGUCUGCUGUGAAAUCCAAGCGCUCAACGUUUGGAAGUGCAGUGGAUACUGCAGGUCUAGGGACCGGACGGCGUCGAGGCUAUUCCAUGGGUAGGAGUGAAAUCCUAAAAUCCAUGGAGGAGCACCUGUGGCGAAAGCGCUCGGCGAGUACGGAUCCGACGGUGAGGAACGAAAGCUAGGGGAGCAAA
rnacentral:rRNA from 1 species